rnacentral:lncRNA from 1 species
GAAAAUAGUAAAGAUAGUAAUAAUCAAGGACGUAGAUUUUUGGUUCCAAAUGGAGAUACUACACAUUUGAUCCCAAUAAAAAGUACAAAAAAAUUGACAACCAAAUCAGUUAAAGAAAUCACAUAUGAAAAAAAAAAAAAAUCAAUCAAAGGACAUCCCCACUGAAACACCCAAAGAAUUAAAUAAAAAAAAAAAAACAACACACAAUUGCAUUCUUGUAUAAAAACAACUACACCUUCAAAUGUACAUAUUCCGUUACAUACGCAACUACCUAUACAGUUAUACGGAUAUUCUCAAAAAAAAAACAGAAUGUUUCGAAUCGAUACAAACGUCUAAAAAAAAACGUGUGCGUUUUUUUCAUUCAGAAUGUUCAGAAAAUGCGAAAAAGAUGGAAAACUCAGACAAAGUAAAAAAAGAAAAAAAAAAAAAAAAUAAAGAAACGAGUUAUCCACAUACUUCUAAAAGCUGUACAAUAAUAGAUGAAGAUACAUUAAAAAAUAUAAAGAUUGCUAUAAAAAAAGGUACAUCACAUAACAGUAAAAAAAUAGUCACUAAGGAGGGUGAAAAAAUAGUCACUAAGGAGGGUGAAAAAAUAGUCACUAAGGAGGGUAAAAAAAUAGUCACUAAGGAGGGUAAAAAAACAGCCACUACAGAAAGUAAUAAAAUAGCCAUUACGGAAAAUAAUAAAACAGCUACUACGGAAAAUAAUAAAACAGCCAUUACGGAAAGUAAUAAAACAGCUACUACGGAAAGUAAUAAAACAGCUACUACGGAAAGUUAUAAAAAUAAUGAAAAAAAUGGUAUAAACAAUAUGAAAGAAGUUAUAUGUAGUGAAUGCAGGUAUAAUGACAAAAUAAAAAAAACUGGCUCUAAAAGUGUUAACACAGAUGCAUUUACAAGAAAAGUCUCUCGAGUGAUAAUCCAAAAAAUUGAAAACCAUAACUCCAAAAAGUUUUAUUCUAUAAAAAUUGAAGGUGGGAUACAAAACGCAAACCGAGUCAUCACAUACCAAAAAAAAUAAUGUAAAUAAAAAACCAAAAUGUGAG